CAACGAAUAUUCCGCAAUGGGCGCAAGCCUGACGGAGCGACGCCGCGUGGAGGAUGAAGUCCCUCGGGAUGUAAACUCCAUUAGUCUGCCAGGAAGCAACCUGGCCUAAUACGUCGGGAAGUUGACCAGCAGAUGAAAGGGGCGGCUAACUCCGUGCCAGCAGCCGCGGUAAUACGUAGGGGGCGAGCGUUGUCCGGAAUGAUUGGGCGUAAAGGGCGCGUAGGCGGCCUGUUAAGUCUGGAGUGAAAGUCCUGCCUUCAAGGUGGGAAUUGCUUUGGAUACUGGCGGGCUUGAGUGCAGGAGAGGUUAUCGGAAUUCCCGGUGUAGCGGUGAAAUGCGUAGAGAUCGGGAGGAACACCAGUGGCGAAGGCGGGUAACUGGACUGCAACUGACGCUGAGGCGCGAAAGUGUGGGGAGCAAACAG
rnacentral:rRNA from 1 species